UCUUUCUUCUCUCCCUCACGAGUUUUCUGCAGAAAAAAGGAAAAAUAAACGGAACAACAAACAACGUUUCUCUUCUCUUUCGAUUGGAACAACAACAACGUUAAUUCCCACUCUCAGUUUCUCUCUUCUAUGAUAACAACCAUGGAGUUUCGUUCUUAUCAUCAUCUCUCUCGCGAAGUGAACGACAACAACAACGGUUCGGCCUCACUCUUGCUCUUUGUUAAACGCACUCGUCUCUCUCGCCGAAACAACAACAAUCAUGGCAAAAACCUCUCUCUCGGUUUCUCACGGCAGGGCAUGUGGAAGAGUUUUUUUUAGAGGUUCUUCCCAACAAGAACAAACCUUAUUCUGAUUUCACUCACGAACCCAGUUUUUGUUCUAAGCAGAGAACUAUGAUUAUAACAACAAUAAUAUUGAGUAAGAGUUGGAUUGACUUACCUACGGCAAGGAGAUUUUUGCCGGUUUUGAUGUUGAGAACCGUGGUGCAGCUGCUGCAAGUUUGUUGAUGGAAGGUGAUGCAACCUCUCUUCUUGGACUUGCGGGAUAGCCUUUGGAUAUUAGGGAUGCUCGAAGGUUGAGCUUGUUGGAAGUUGAAGACUUGAAGAUGAAGCUUCAAGUUUGUUGAAGGAUGCUAAUAAGUGAGGUAUGAAACACUUACUUCUCUUCUCUUUUUUUUGUAUCUUGUGGAUGAAGUUCUUACUACUUCAACAAGACUUUUUUUAUGUGAAAGAAGCUUUGAAGUGUGAGAACUUUGUGUGUGUUCUCCGAUUUUUUUUUCCUGCUAUAUUUGGUUUGCCUCUCUUCUAUAUAUAGAGGAAGAAAUGAGGGACAUCUUUGGUCAUUUUGGCACCUAAGCUUAGUCCUUAAGCUCACUUAGUUGUUAAGUUGUCAUC